CCUACGGGAGGCAGCAGUGGGGAAUAUUGCACAAUGGGGGAAACCCUGAUGCAGCGACGCCGCGUGAGUGAAGAAGUAAUUCGUUAUGUAAAGCUCUAUCAGCAGGGAAGAAAAUGACGGUACCUGAGUAAGAAGCCUCGGCUAACUACGUGCCAGCAGCCGCGGUAAUACGGAGGGGGCAAGCGUUAUCCGGAUUUACUGGGUGUUAAGGGAGCGUAGGCGGGAGUGCAAGUCUGGAGUGUUAGGCGGGGGCUCAACCCCCGGACUGCUCUGGAAACUGUAUUGCUUGAGUGCAGGAGAGGUAAGUGGAAGUCCUAGUGUAGCGGUGAAAUGCGUAGAGAUUAGGAGGAACACCAGUGGCGAAGGCGGCUUACUGGACUGUAACUGACGUUGAGGCUCGAAAGCGUGGGGAGCAAACAGGAUUAGAUACCCGAGUAGUC
rnacentral:rRNA from 1 species